GUUCCCCUCCGCAGCCGCCUCCCUCCGGGUCUCUCCCAGCUCUUCGCUCCCUCGCCGCAACCUCAGGGGUGGGGGGAAGUCCCUCCCACAGCGGACCCCCUCCCCUCUUCUCACCCCACCCGCGGCGACCGCCGCUUCCUCCAAGCCGCAUCCACAGCGGUCAGCGCAGACGAGACUCCGCUCCAACCGCCAACCCCGCCGCUCUCUCCGACAGGAGCGCCUCCUCCUUCUCGCUUCCUUCCUUCCUUCCUUCCUUCUCCCCCCUGCCCCUUCCCUGCGCUCUCCGAGGUCCACCUGGGGACGGGAAGACGCGCUCCCUCAGCCCCGCCGCAGGCUGCUCACCUGCAUAGACGCCAUGAUGGAUCCGCCUCCCCACCCCUCCUCCUCUCUGCGCCGCCGGCCAGGCCAGGACCGGGAAGAGACGCAGCGCGGCGGCGGCGGCAACGCCGGCACCCUCCCUCGCCUCCUCCUAGGUCACGUGAGAGCUCCAGCCAGCCCGAGGAGAGAGCGCAUGCGUCCGGAAGCGGCGCCUCGUUGCGCUCCAGGUAGAACGCCCGAGCAGGGUUUGGAGAGUCUGCCUUCUGUUUGUCUUUUGAAACAAUGCCGACUAGUGCCCUUUUUCGCCGCUAUCGGCCUCCCAAGGACGGAAGCUGCUCGCGCCGGUCGCCACUGUUUCUUGUAAGAAGAUUGUUUUAUUUUUUUUAACCCUGCGUUUUCAUCAGAUGACCUUCAGAGCGACUCAGAAGAACCACAAGCCAAUUAGUACUGGUAUUGCAGCAGCAUAGCUCUUUCACCUCUUACCUGCUCUUAUGGAAGUUAUAUAUUAAUCUCCCUUUGUUGGGCCAGUUGCAUAGCAACUGUAAUUUGCAGUACCAGAAGGUCGCAUCUCACAGAGGAUGAUGUACCUCAAUGGAAUUGUGCUAGUUCUCACAUCACUAAGCUUGCCAACUUAACAGCAACUGGGAAUACACAAUAUUUUGAAAGAAACUCCAUUCCUUUCAUAAGAUUUCUCCCCUCGUCCAGCAAGUGAGUGGAGAGGAAACCUGAAGUGUUCACAGAAAGCAAAUAUGCAAACAACAGCUAUCUGCCUCCUUGUCACACUAAACGUCCAGUGUUUGUCUGCCGCAGACUGAGGAGUACAACAGAUAAAUGGAGAAGUCACACUCCUUUUAACAAGCAUCCUCAUUAUCCAUCCCCUCAUCUGUCAACCAUCCUAGGGCAGGUUGUAACCAUUGUCUGGACCAUCUAUCUUUUGUCAGUAACAUUUGAUCUUCAGUACCAAAUGGACAGCCAAAAAGGGCAGAUUGGGAAGUUUUUGCAGUUGAUUGUAACUCAUGCUCCUGUAUAUCCAUCACAACAACUAAAUAUGAAUCUUUGACAUUUGGAUUUUACCUGUUAUCAGAUCUGUAGAGCUCGGGUAUUCAUUUUAGAGUUAACUGCAGGUAUGAUCCACGCUUCAGUGAAGCACAUAUUUUUGGUCUCUGAAUAGUCACAAAUUAUUUUUCUGCAACAACUGCUAAAUAGUAACAUCUAUAAGGCUCCUAUGUUAUGGAUUGCAGGAAAUCCUUUCUAGUGUUUGAGAAAGUAUCAAACCGAAUAGAUACUGUCAGACAAAAGACUGCUACAGAGCUCUUGUUACAACUCUAAACAGCUGACCAUAUAUUUUUCUAUAUAGGAUACGAUCAACUGCUCUUUAAUAAAACCUUAACUAUUUACUGCACAAAAUUAUUGGGAUUUAAGAAUGAAUUCAAAAGCAACAAUUAGGAAGAAUCUGUAAGGGUGUUAGUCCCCUCAUAAGCAUGUUAAUUAAAUUAAGAAACAACACUUCUGUCACGAAACUUGAGGUUCCCACUUUUCAUUGUGAGUGUAGUA